rnacentral:tRNA from 1 species
CAUGAGAUGCUACAUUGGUAAUG